rnacentral:rRNA from 1 species
GACGAACGCUGGCGGCGUGCUUAACACAUGCAAGUCGAACGGAAAGGCCCUUCGGGGUACCCGAGUGGCGAACGGGUGAGUAACACGUGGGUGAUCUGCCCUGCACUUUGGGAUAAGCCUGGGAAACUGGGUCUAAUACCGGAUAGGACCACGGCAUUCAUGUGCUGUGGUGGAAAGCUUUUGCGGUGUGGGAUGGGCCCGCGGCCUAUCAGCUUGUUGGUGGGGUAAUGGCCUACCAAGGCGACGACGGGUAGCCGGCCUGAGAGGGUGACCGGCCACACUGGGACUGAGAUACGGCCCAGACUCCUACGGGAGGCAGCAGUGGGGAAUAUUGCACAAUGGGCGCAAGCCUGAUGCAGCGACGCCGCGUGAGGGAUGACGGCCUUCGGGUUGUGAACCUCUUUCGCCAGGGACGAAGCGCAAGUGACGGUACCUGGAGAAGAAGGACCGGCCAACUACGUG